AUCAUUUUUUGGCCUUUUGGCUAAGAUCAAGUGUGAUAUUCUUAUUAGUUUAAUAUCUGAUACAUUAAAAAAUUUGAUACUAAAAACAAUUCCCCUCUGUGCUUCAACUACA
rnacentral:snRNA from 1 species